UUUACAAUUCAGCAUGCACCUCCAUUGGGUCCUCCUUUAGGUUCAACUGCACGUACGAUGAGACCUCUGCUUCUGGUAUAUUCGGUGGCCUUGUGUGGCCUGCUGGUGUCAGGCAAUGCGCUGCCACCUGCAGGUGAACCAAGUGCGAACCCUCCAGAUCAGACGGAGUCAUUUGGAAUGCAAGACACUCAAGUUCCUGUUGGAUUGAUCGGCCAGCCAAAUGGACCAAACAAAGCUGAAGAAGCACGCUGUCCAUCGGAAACCGGCUCGCCAGUAAGCGAUGGGAGGAGCGGCGAUUCUGAGAACAAGGAACAAGGCCAGAAGGAGAAGAGUGAAAAUUUAGUGAGAACGAUAACGGGAAGGGGCCCCUUUCCUCUGAGGAAAGAGUUGGAAGUAUGCAAGCGAAAUAGCACCAAACCUGGCGUAUCCCCUCCUAGACAAGGGAAGGCAGAUGGUACUUAUGAAGUGAUCUUCCGCUAUCAGCAAUCUUAAUUCAUAUCGAAAAUCCCCAGUUUCAUGAACUGGGCUUGCUUUUUAAACUGUAACCAGGCGUAGUACGUUUUCCAGCGAUGCUACACAGCGUAUUCACUAUUCUUAUGAAAAUGCAGAAAAUUAUUAAAUUUGCGCUGCUAUUACCUGCCCUAUCUUAGCGCCAGGGAACAUGCAAUAACCUGUACUCAAACUAAUACAAAAUAUGCGAAGCAUGACUGCCUCGGUUUUACUUGUCUAUGCUCUGACAGUUACCGCCACUUUCGGAAAGCGGUGGAGCAAUAUAUAGAUAUAAUUUUGUUUCCAAUGAAGUAGCAGGAGCAACUUAAUCUCAAGGCCUUGGUAUAAAGGAAGGACGCAUCGCUUGCAGCUGAGCAAGACGUCGCUAGUAGAUUCAUAGUCUCGGCGGCUUCACUUUAGUGGGGAGCACUACAGUAACAGCUGGCUCACUUAAUUUUAGUGCGCGGUUUUAAAUGAGAGGCGUAGGGGGGCCUCAGGUAAAAAUCGUCUUGCGCUCUCAACUACUUUGUAUGUGGACAACUGCCAGAUGCUUUGAGACUUAUUUCCAAAUUUAAAUGCAAUAGAAGUUUGUUCCAAAAUUCAAGUUUCCUUGCUGUCCCACUUGAAAAACACAACAGGAAAUUUUCAGUCUGUCGUAUUUUGGGACGUUCUUUCUGUCAUUCUGUUGUCUGUCCUUCUGUCGCUUGUAGUUCUGCUGUCUUACGUUGUGUUGUCUGUAGAGUGACGUCCUGCAGUCGAAAGUUCUGUAGUUCCUGAUCAAUAUUUAAUUAAUAAUUGACAGACACCUCUUUAAGGAUUUGUAAAUUUAUUAGUAAAAAAGGAAAUAUAUAAAAGUAAAAGAAACUUGCCCA